GACGGGGGGGGCAAGUGUUCUUCGGAAUGACUGGGCGUAAAGCGCACGUAGGCGGAUUGCUAAGUCAGGGGUGAAAUCCUGGAGCUCAACUCCAGAACUGCCUUUGAUACUGGCGACCUUGAGUCCGGGAGAGGUGAGUGGAACUGCGAGUGUAGAGGUGAAAUUCGUAGAUAUUCGCAAGAACACCAGUGGCGAAGGCGGCUCACUGGCCCGGUACUGACGCUGAGGUGCGAAAGCGUGGGGAGCAAACAGG
rnacentral:rRNA from 1 species